AUACGGAGGGGGUUAGCGUUGUUCGGAAUUACUGGGCGUAAAGCGCACGUAGGCGGAUUGGAAAGUUGGGGGUGAAAUCCCAGGGCUCAACCCUGGAACUGCCUCCAAAACUACAGUCUAGAGUUCGAGAGAGGUGAGUGGAAUUCCAAGUGUAGAGGUGAAAUUCGUAGAUAUUUGGAGGAACACCAGUGGCGAAGGCGGCUCACUGGCUCGAUUCUGACGCUGAGGUGCGAAAGCGUGGGGAGCAAACAGGAUUAGAAACCCCGGUAGUCC
rnacentral:rRNA from 1 species